UCCCUGGUAGCCUAGCAGUUAAGGGUUCAGCAUUGUCAUUGCUGUGGCUCAGGAUCGAUCCCUGACCUGGGAA
rnacentral:tRNA from 1 species